rnacentral:rRNA from 1 species
GAUCCUGGCUCAGGACGAACGCUGGCGGCGCGCCUAACACAUGCAAGUCGAACGGAGCUUGAAGAGCUUGCUUUUUAAGCUUAGUGGCGAACGGGUGAGUAACGCGUGAGUAACCUGCCCUGAAGUGGGGGACAACAGUUGGAAACGACUGCUAAUACCGCAUAAGCCCACGGCCCGGCAUCGGGCUGCGGGAAAAGGAUUUAUUCGCUUCAGGAUGGACUCGCGUCCAAUUAGCUAGUUGGUGAGGUAACGG